AUGGUACACCGACUUUUGACAUUUGUAAUGAAAACAGUUUACUCAAUUUUAGGGUCCAGAUGAAAUCUCACCUAGAUGGCGCCAGCGUAACGGGGGACUGUCAGUGUUGACAUUUGUCAAGUAUGGGUGCUGUCAUCGCUGUCAUGCUGUGUUGGUCGUUAAAAAAUAACGUGUUGAUUAUGUUAUUUUUGUGAUUUUUUAAAGUUAUAUCUGGUUUCGUCGUGAUUGUUGCGUAAGAUUUUGAAUGAAAAUUACCCGAACAGUGAAUGUUUGACGAAGAAUAACGCAAAAGUUGUGCGAUUAGUGGGGUUGUUUUUAUCUUACGCCAGUCUGUUUCCAAGAAACGAUCAUGCGGCAAAUAUUAUUCAAAUAUAUUUUUGAAAUUUCUCCUUCAAUAACGAUGGCUUUGUCUAUUCUUGGGACGUCAGUUGUUACGUGGCUUAUAAUAAUUUUAUCUGGCAGUUGAUGAAUACCCCAUGUGAGAGGCAACAAUUCACAAAUUUCUGAAUAAUUGUUUCUCAACAUACUGAGAGUAUCCGAGGAUAAAGUUUUGAUUGGGGAGGAACGUGAUAUAGGGUUUCUCUGUGUGGAUGUAUCGUUUUCAGGAUCUGCAUUACUGAAAAAAAGAUGCGCGUUUUUAUUUAUUCACAUACGUAUAUGUAUUUCAACGAACUCAUUGUAAAUUUUAAAUAUUGACGAAUAUUAUAUAAAAAUCAUCAAGAAUAGCAAAGAUGUCUCCUUUAGUGUAGCGUAACUAAAGUAAUUUUCCACUUUUUGGACAUGACUCAACCAAAUGGUAAGUCAUGAAAAGUGAGGCUGUUUAGAAAUACAUACCUAUAUAUCGAUAGCAUUUCAACUGGAUGGGUUUUAUUGCUCCUAGGAUAUUGUUUAAUAGGAUGGGUACUCUGGUAGGAAAUGUCAUUUUUGGUAUUGGUAUAACCGAAGUUUACAACUGGAUCAUCUGGUGUGGAAUUUCUUCAAAUAAUAUGAACGGCAGGCUAUUAGGAUAAAUCAGGAUAUUUUAUACAUACAUAUUUCCUUGUAGUGGUGGAAAUGGAUAGGUUUGUUCCUUUUUGGGGCAUGUAGGAAAAGGAUGUGUGGAAACACAGGAAUUUCCAAUGCUUGCACAACCUAAAUUUAUAGUCGGUAUAGCAUCAGGAGUUAAUGUUCUUCGAACAACAUGUUCAUGAUCAUAGUGUAUUCUUAUAUAUUUGUUUUCAAAAUGCUGCAUACAAAUAUAUGUCUUGGGAAUAAAUAAAAACCCGGCAGCUUCAGUCCAGACUUUUAUUCUUUUUCCAUCCUAUAAAUAAUCAUAUUUUUGAAAAAAAAUGGUCUAAAUAGUGUUAGCUGUUAUUGAAUUGUUAUUUACCGCAGGAACCCGAAAUAACGAAAUAUCGCGACUGAGAAGUUUAAUAUGCCCACAAAGAACACACUUUUUCAUUUUGAACGGCUAGAGAACGGCUCCCUUUUACAAUUUGUGGUGUUUCUGCUGCAAACACGCUGUAAAUUUCAAAAGCGUCUAUUAAUGUCAACUUUGACAGCGCAUUUGACGGUCCCUCGUGUACUACUGCGCCAUCUAGUGGAAAAAUUUUAAACUAACAUCUGGUUCCUACAUUUGGGUAUCAAUUAAUGGCGGAGUCGGUAUACCAUUCUUUCUAUGUAUCUUGCCAGUAUCAUACUUUUCAGUUACAGAAAGUUAGUCGCGAAAAUUCGCUUAUUAUAACCAACUGUCAAGAGUGUCAAGUGUCAUCUGGUGCUGUGUCAAAUUAUAUACAAAAUUUGAAUCGCUGUAAGCAUAACUGUAAGGCAUUCUUUCAAGUACAUUCAUAUUUUAUUCCAGUUCUGAUUACAAAAUUCAGAAUCAUGUAAAUACUUUCUCUGAGUCAUAAAUGUUUGGGUAUUUUAGUUUCAGACAUUAAAGGACCAUUUACAUCCACGUUGCAUAUGCGACGGAACAACAUAACGUAAGCCGUAGAGUAGUAAGCAGAACGAAAGAUGACAUGGGCGGAGCUUCAGGUUAGGAAUCAGGGAAAAAAAUGGACAGAUAUAAGACUUGGAUGGUAAAGCUAAAUAUGGGAAAACCAGCAACAAAGCACAUGAAAGUGUGUUCACUACAUUGUAAUCAGGAUGAUUUCAUCUUGAGGAUUUGAUUUGAGGACCCAGGUGGGUUAGUUAGCUUCGUGCUUGCCCACUACACCUUGGGUCGUGGGUUCGAUUCCCGCCUUGCCUUUUGGGUGUUGUGUAUGUCAUGUUUCCUGUAAUUGGGCCUCCAGCUUGUUAGAGACAUCAUAGGAUAAAAUAAAUAAAAAUAAAAAUAUUACCUGAUGUAAGUAUCAUUACUAAAGAAUUACUACCUAGAAGGCCCAAAAAUCGAGACUUUAAAGCAGUCAGAAGUACAACAAUGAGAAAAUCUGAAGGUUACAUAAUUUCAAGUACAGAUAGAACUGAUGUAAAUUGCUUCGACAGCAGUCAGUUACAUCAAAAAACUGUUUCAACAUUAGAAAUGGAAACCGUGCAGGCUUUGUUACAUUUACAAAAUUCACAAAAAAAGGAUAAAAAUAUUCAAGUGACAAGUGGAGAUUUAGUGGCACCUUUUAUAAGUACACUUAAAUCUGAUAAUGAUUUAAAUACAAUGGCUGGAAUACCAUCCUUUCUGUUAUUUAAUGCUAUUGUUGCAAAUUGUGAGAUGUUUGGAAAAUUCUGUAAUAAACAUAAAUUAAACUUGAAAGAACGUG